rnacentral:rRNA from 1 species
AGAACGAACGCUGGCGGCAUGCCUAACACAUGCAAGUCGAACGGGAGUAGCAAUACUCUAGUGGCGGACGGGUGAGGAAUACGUAGGAAUUUGCCCUUAAGUGGGGGAUAACCCGGGAAACCCGGAUUAAUACCGCAUGACCUCGAAAGAGCAAAGUGGGGGAUCGCAAGACCUCACGCUUUGGAGAAGCCUACGUCGGAUUAGCUAGUUGGUGAGGUAAUGGCUCACCAAGGCGACGAUCCGUAACUGGUCUGGAGA